rnacentral:rRNA from 1 species
AUUGAACGCUGGCGGCAUGCCUUACACACGCAAGUCGAGCGGCAGCGCGGGGGCAACCCUGGCGGCGAGCGGCGCACGGGUGAGUAAUACAUCGGAACGUGUCCUUUCGUGGGGGAUAACCAGUCGAAAGAUUGGCUAAUACCGCAUGAGAUCUCACGAUGAAAGCGGGGGACCCGAGGGUAACUUCGGGCCUCGCGCGAUUGGAGCGGCCGAUGUCGGAUUAGCAGUUGGCGGGGUAAAGCCCACCAAGGCGACGAUCCGUAGCUGGUUUGAGAGAACGACCAGCCACACUGGGACUGAGACACGGCCCAGACUCCUACGGGAGGCAGCAGUGGGGAAUUUUGGACAAUGGGGGCAACCCUGAUCCAGCCAUGCCGCGUGUGUGAAGAAGGCCU